CUCAAACGCGAAAAGAAACUAACAAUCGAAGGGCAUCUCGCUAAGACUCACGUGAGCAUGCGCGAGUGUCUUCAUCUCACGCACGUGGUGCGCCAUAAACGACACGACAAGGGCGGCAACGCCCACAACUUCGCCUUCGACACCCUCACGAAGGUCUACCGCGACGCCGUGUACUUGCCACAGGAGAAGUACCGGAGAGGCCUCAUGCACCCAGAGCGUAGUCGAAGAGCGCCACCGUCGCAAGCAGCGCUUGUCGCGCCGUCGAGCAGUUCGGACGUCACCAACCACGUCGGCAACAUCGGUGUCAUGAGCUCAGUCGCUACCAAGCUAUCCGAUCGGAUGGAGCAGCAGCACCACCAGAAGAAGCUUCAAACCGAUGAAGAUGGAGGGACAGACCACGCAUUUGCCAAAGCAAGCUGCGCUACACCGAUUGCGGGUCGCAGUGUAGUGUCCUCUUCCUCUUCACCCGCCCACUCUGCCGCAGCUGCGACGACCGAAGAGUCGUAUGUGGACGACGAGGCCAUUCGGAGGCGGCUGCGCGCCCAUCUUUUCUCCAACAAAAUGCAGCCAGGGCAGCCUUGCACUGCACCUUCCACGCCAGUGGCGACUGCCUCGGCAUCCCCGCGACGCAGCGGAGUCCAGGCGGAGAUACUGAGCGUGUAUCGCAGCAUGUUGCGAGAGGUUUCGCGCAUGCAGGACGCCGACACGCGGCGCAGCUUGUCGGCGUACAUUCGCCAGGAGUACGACAAGCAGCGUGACAUUCCCCGCAAGAACAUCACGAAGAUCGAGUGGAGGCUGAACUAUGGCAAGCGCAAGCUGGAGGAGUUGCAGGCGAUGAGCAAGCACACAAAGUUCACCAUGAUGCGUUGAACACCGCACUACCUCCGCCCCACCUUACGUACCCAUCUACGAAAAACCAAAGGCCCGCACAUGCACGCACGCACGCAUUCUCCUGUGCACGAACCUGAAGGCCGAGGCCCUCCCCCCACCUCACCCCACCCCACCCAGAAAGAGGCGGAGGGGAGUUAACUUCUGUGGAUUUCCUCUAGGCAUGAGGCGUGGUGUGAGGUGUGUGCCCUGCCAGAUAACGGCUAGCACUUCCGCUCUGCAUGCGUGCUCGUAUCAGGCACCUCUGCCCUUGCAACGUGGGAAGAGCCCGGAGGAGAGGGUGAUACUUUGCAGCGCUGCUUUUCUUCUGUGCUGCUGUGCAGCCGCAGAUGUACCUCCGGCUGCGCCACGCGACGCCUGUGGUUGCCUUGAAGGAGCUGCGUCGCGGGGCAACAACAGCAAAGCGGGGAGGAAAUGCACGCCUGCGCCUCUGCCAGCGAGCGAGAGGGAGAGACAUCGCGACAUGCAGCACUACCCGAAGCAGCAACACCGACGACGCUUUUUGUUUUCUCGGUGUUUUGCCGAGGAGCGAAGGCUAUGACAGGAACACCUCCACCUCCUGCUUGAAAGAGGCAAGCAGACACACACGAAGGGACGAGUCUCGGUGGCGCCUAUGGUGCUCGCUUCGCUUCUUGUUUUCCUUGUUUUCACAGACAGACAGAGACAAAGUGCGACGCUGUCUUGCCGCGGUCCAGGCACGAAAAGUGAGUUGCGUCGCCCGCUUUUCUCCCUCCAUCUCGUUCGCCUCUCCCUG
rnacentral:misc_RNA from 1 species